UACGGAGGGUGCAAGCGUUGUUCGGAAUUAUUGGGCGUAAAGCGCGUGUAGGUGGUUGGGCAAGUCAGAUGUGAAAGCCUUCUGCUUAACAGAAGAAGUGCAUUUGAAACUGCUCGGCUAGAGUACGGGAGAGGAGAGUGGAAUUCCCGGUGUAGAGGUGAAAUUCGUAGAUAUCGGGAGGAACACCAGUGGCGAAGGCGGCUCUCUGGUCCGAUACUGACGCUGAGACGCGAAAGCGUGGGGAGCAAACAGG
rnacentral:misc_RNA from 1 species